AUGUCAGUUUGCUUGUCAGCCCCCGGCUGUGGUUUUGAUGUUAUUUCCUCCCUUCUUUCAGCAGGAUGUCUUUGCUGCAGAAGGACAGAAAUGCCGCGGCGUGACAGCUCCUCUUUCCCAGCCAGGGCUGCGCAUGUGAGCAAGGGGCUCCGGCAGCGGCCGGGCGCACGAGGGAUGGGCAGGCAGACAUCAGGCAGACAGGCAUCACAUCUCCUGGCCGGGCUGAUGCCAGGAAAGGAAAGGAGGUGUCAGGGCAUCUGUCAGGCCCCAAAGCAGCAGUUGGCAGAUUUAAAAGUGAAAUGUGCAAACGGGGGAUGUCCGCGCUCCAGUGGCCUCUCCAGGCACCAAGCAGGAGGAUGCCGCACGCAUCCAGGGUGCUGUGCUGGCCCCUCGGCUCCUGUUUGCCCACGGCUUCUCGUGAGUCAAUGGUGUGCAUGUUGUGUGUAAUCUUCGGUGAUGGGCUGCUGAUCUUCUACACUGUUUGUGCCAGCCCAGCCUCGGAGAGCCCCACCUGAGCAGCUUUUCCUUCUGGUGCUCCCGGAGAUAAGUACAAGCUGCUCUGUCUGUCUGUGUAUGUGUGUAUAGGUAUGUCCGUGCAUACGCCUGUGUGUAUAUAUAUAUAGUGUUGUCUUGGAUCAUUAGAGGUUAUUACCUAAAUCUUUUCACAUUUGUGUCUGCCAGGCAAUGAGCAAGUAUUAUUAAAACAGGGCUGCUUAAAUGAAAGCAGCUGGAGAAUAGUUUUCAUUACAAGGCUGCCAAAUUAUUUGAGCAAUCUCCUCACCUUACCUCAGGCCUACCCAGGGGCAGCAACUCAAAUGCCAGAAACUCAUUUCUGUUGUUUUACUUUUAUUUUUUCAUUCAUUCAUAUGCACAAGUUGAUAUACAUAAAUAUAUGUAUGUGUAUUUUUAUACAUAUGUAGACAGACACCGAUUAUACCUAUAUAUAAAGACCUUAAAGAUCUUCAAAAAUGUACAUUCAAAAUAUAUGUAGAAUUAUAACAGUAUAAAUGUACACAAUGAAUAGCACGAAAAUAUAACAUAUUG
rnacentral:lncRNA from 1 species